rnacentral:rRNA from 1 species
GCCAGCAGCCAUAUCACCAGCAGCAACUGGCAACCCACUGAAGCUAAGCAGGUGUGAGCCUGGUCAGUACCUGGAUGGGAGACCUCCUGGGGAAAAACUAAGGUUGCUGCUGGAA